UACGAAGGGGGCUAGCGUUGCUCGGAAUCACUGGGCGUAAAGGGUGCGUAGGCGGGGCUUUAAGUCAGGGGUGAAAUCCUGGAGCUCAACUCCAGAACUGCCUUUGAUACUGAAGAUCUUGAGUUCGGGAGAGGUGAGUGGAACUGCGAGUGUAGAGGUGAAAUUCGUAGAUAUCGGGAGGAACACCAGUGGCGAAGGCGGCGACCUGGACGGACACUGACGCUGAGACGCGAAAGCGUGGGGAGCAAACAGG
rnacentral:rRNA from 1 species